UACGGAGGAUGCGAGCGUUAUCCGGAUUUAUUGGGUUUAAAGGGUGCGCAGGCGGAUUUUUAAGUCAGCGGUCAAAUCGUGGGGCUCAACCCCAUCCAGCCGUUGAAACUGGGGAUCUAGAGUGUGCGAGAGGUAUGCGGAAUGCGUGGUGUAGCGGUGAAAUGCAUAGAUAUCGCGCAGAACCCCGAUUGCGAAGGCAGCAUACCGGUGCACAACUGACGCUCAGGCACGAAAGCGUGGGUAUCGAACAGG
rnacentral:rRNA from 1 species